rnacentral:rRNA from 1 species
AAUAUUGGGCAAUGGAGGAAACUCUUACCCAGCAAUGCCGCGUGAGUGAAUGAAGGUCUUCGGAUUGUAAAGCUCUUUGAUUGGGGACGAAUAAAUGACGGUACCCAAAAAACAAGCCCCGGCUAACUAUGUGCCAGCAGCCGCGGUAAUACAUAGGGGGCAAGCGUUGUCCGGAAUGACUGGGCGUAAAGGGUGCGUAGGCGGUCUGGCAAGUUGGAAGUGUAAUACCUAGGGCUUAACCCAGGUGCUGCUUCCAAAACUGCUAGACUUGAGUGUUGGAGAGGAAAAUGGAAUUCCUAGUGUAGCGGUGGAAUGCGUAGAUAUUAGGAGGAACACCAGAGGCGAAGGCGAUUUUCUGGACAACAACUGACGCUGAGGCACGAAAGCGUGGGGAGCAAACA